rnacentral:rRNA from 1 species
ACACGUGGGUAAUCUGCCCUCGAUUCUGGGAUAGCCCGGGGAAACCCGGAUUAAUACCGGAUAGCCUUUCGAGCUUACGAGCUCGUUAGAAAAGGUAGCUUCGGCCUCCGAUCGAGGAUGAGCCCGCGGCGGAUUAGCUUGUUGGUGGGGUAAUGGCCUACCAAGGCAACGAUCCGUAGCUGGUCUGAGAGGACGAUCAGCCACACUGGGACUGAGACACGGCCCAGACUCCUACGGGAGGCAGCAGUGGGGAAUCCUGCGCAAUGGGCGAAAGCCUGACGCAGCGACGCCGCGUGGGGGAAGAAGGCCUUCGGGUUGUAAACCUCUUUCAGCAGGGACGAAGCCACUCGGGUUAAUAGCCUAGAGGGUGACGGUACCUGCAGAAGAAGCCCC